AUUGAACGCUGGCGGCAUGCUUUACACAUGCAAGUCGAACGGCAGCGCGGGCUUCGGCCUGGCGGCGAGUGGCGAACGGGUGAGUAAUACAUCGGAACGUGCCCAGUAGUGGGGGAUAGCUCGGCGAAAGCCGGAUUAAUACCGCAUACGACCUGAGGGUGAAAGCGGGGGAUCUUCGGACCUCGCGCUAUUGGAGCGGCCGAUGUCAGAUUAGCUAGUUGGUGGGGUAAAGGCCUACCAAGGCGACGAUCUGUAGCUGGUCUGAGAGGACGACCAGCCACACUGGGACUGAGACACGGCCCAGACUCCUACGGGAGGCAGCAGUGGGGAAUUUUGGACAAUGGGCGAAAGCCUGAUCCAGCAAUGCCGCGUGUGUGAUGAAGGCCUUCGGGUUGUAAAGCACUUUUGGCGGGAACGAAAAGGACUGUGCCAAUACCACGGUUCGAUGACGGUACCCGCAGAAUAAGCACCGGCUAACUACGUG
rnacentral:rRNA from 1 species